AAUAAAAAAGUGGGUGUUAAGUAAUGGUCUUAAAGGGGGAAAAGGAAAUAGAAAGAUAGAGAGGUCUAGGGAGGGAAUUCCAUAGCUUGGGGCCCAUUGGCAGCUGAAGGCUUGGUUGCUAUAGCUGCAGGAAAGGGAAAUCAGAGGUUACAAGAGAUCAGAAUUGGAGGACUGCAGAGGUCACUUUUUACUUCAGUAGUUCUUAAAAGCCAGGGAAUCUCAAGGAAACAGAUCUUUGAUUUUUUUUCUCAAUUUAUUUUAGAGUUAAAUCAAUAAAGGUACUUAUCAAAAUAAUCAAAUGCGUUAUGAAGGUGGCCAAUCUAUAAUCAGCUCACAACUAAAAUUUCUGACUCAGAAAAAGGAUUAAUGGCCUUUCCAGUCCAUUCAGGAGCUGCACUAGGACCGCUCGGGGGCGCGGGUCCGACCUGGACCUGCACAUUGCGAUCCGGUGGGCCUGCUCCACGCUCACCAGGUCCAACUCCAACUCUAGCCCCUCCAGGAUGUCGAUAAGGUCCUCACCUUCUUCACUUUCCGGAAUAUCCAUGAGUCGUAGCCUCAUUCUGUGGACCUCUUGAACUCUAUGCUUAGGCCCUCUUGAACUCUAUGCAUUUCAGAAGGAUGGGAAGACUGCCGAAAACUGCUGAAAGGAACUACGGAAAUGGUCCUGCAUUGGUAAGAGAUGUGGUUGAUGCGAGGUCAGGACCAGUGAUGAAUUAAGUUCAGGUUGGUGCAAGGGUCCUGAACAAGCAUAUGGACCGUAUGAAAGCUGUGAAAUCACAAAUGAUGAGCGAGCAAAAUGUACCCCGCACCUCAACAGUAAGAAAGAGUGCCGGAACCCGUAGGUUCAUUCUCUCUGUCAAGGGUUGAUGAGACUUCUGAAUCCGAGAUGGACAUGACAGAUGUAGCCACAUCAAUGUCUCUGCCGGUGGAAGAGAGUGAAUUUCUACCGAGGUAUUCUUGACUCAAGAGGCAAGCUGCCAUUUGUUAUGUGCUGCCCGUAUUGGAAGCAAAGUCCAAGGUACCUGAUCCAGUGCUAAAAUGCCCCAGGAGGCUUUUCAAGAAAAAGGACCAACUCACGUCCUCAGUUUUACAGGGUGAGAGAUGUAAUGAGGUUAGCCAGCUGGACCUCACAGAAUAAGAGUUCCCUGAUUGAGGUUGCUAAUCUGUUCCAAUCAGGAAGCCCUAGCUGACAGAUAUAAACA